rnacentral:rRNA from 1 species
GGUAUCAAGAUAUUAAGAGCUUAUGGUGGAUGGCUUGGUUGAUACAGACGAUGAAGGGCGUGGCAAGCUGCGAUAAGCUGCGGUGAGGCGCAAGUAGCUUUUGAUCCGCAGAUUCCCGAAUGAGAGAACUUCUCUGGGCUAAUACCCGGAGACCCUGCUUUUAGCAGGGAGGUAACCCGAGGAAGUGAAACAUCUCAGUACUCGGAGGAAAAGAAACCGCAUGGCAUUCCCCCAGUAGCGGCGAGCGAAGAGGGAACAGUCCAAACUUAAUAAGUGUUAAAGCCUGCCGGCGUUGCUUAUUAGGGGUCGCGGGGUGUAAACGGAAAGCGUGGCAGAGUUUUCGGGAAGUUACAAAUCUUACCUUUAAUUGAAUCCGGUGGGAAACGGAACCAUAGAGGGUGAAAGUCCUGUAAAUGAAAUCGGUAAGACUUCCUGGUUUAUAUUCCCAAGUACCACGAGGCACGUGAAACCUUGUGGGAAUUUGCCCCGACCACGGGGUAAGACUAAAUACUUGUAUCAGACCGAUAGUGUACUAGUACCGUGAGGGAAAGCUGAAAAGAACCCCGGUGAGGGGAGUGAAAUAGAAUCUGAAACCAUAAGUUUACAAAACGGUCGGAGCGUAACUUCGGUUAUGCGACGGCGUACCUUUUGUAUAAUGGUCCAGGGAGUUAUUAUCUGUCGCAAGUUUAAUUCCGGCAUGAAAGUGCCGGGAGUAGGCGUAGAGAAAUCGAGUCCUAAUAGGGCGAACUUUAGCGGCAGGGAAUAGACUCGAAGCCAGUCGAUCUACCCAUGGCCAAGGUGAAGUCUCGAGAAAUCGAGAUGGAGGCCUGAACCGGUGUCUGUUGAAAAAGGCUCGGAUGAGCUGUGGGUCGGAGUGAAAGGCUAAUCAAGACUGGUGAUAGCUAGUUCUCCCCGAAAUGACUUUAGGGUCAGCCUCUAGUAAUAAGGCUUAGGACGGUAGAGCACAGGAUGGGCUAGGGUGGACUAUGUCCAUACCAACCCCAACCUAACUCCGAAUUUCUUAAGUUUCUAGCUAGGGAGUGAGACUAUGAGGGCUAAGCUUCAUAGUCGAGAGGGAAACAGCCCAGACCGCCAGUUAAGGUCCCUAAAAAUAGGCUAAGUGGAAAAGGAUGUGGAGUCACUAAAACAGCCGGGAUGUUGGCUUAGAGGCAGCCAUCAUUUAAAGAGUUCGUAAUAGAUCACCGGUCGAGUGAUUCUGCGCCGAAGAUGAUCGGGGCUCAAGCCUAUUACCGAAACUGCGGGUCUUUUGACAAUAACGUCAAAGGGCGGUAGGGGAGCAUUCUGUGGGUGAUGAAGGUUUGACGUGAGUCAGGCUGGAACGCACAGAAGAGAGCAUCCUGGAAUGAGUAGCGAAAACCCCGGUGAAAAACCGGGGCGCCGAAAGCCUAAGGUUUCUCCGUCAAUGUUCGUCAGACGGAGGUUAGGCGGUCCCUAAGUUGAACCUCGUUUAGGCGGGGGUAGGCGAUGGAGAAAGGGGUUAAUAUUCCCCUCCCACCUAUAAACGUUAACUUAAGAGAUGACGCAUGAGAUGCGAUGGUCGGACUGUUGGAUGUGUCCGUCACACAGGGUAACCUGUGCGGGAGUUCAAGCUACGGCGCGAACGAACCCAUCAGAAUCAAGUGCCAAGAAAUAGUUUCUUAAGUUGUUUAUGGGUGACCGUACCGGAAUCCGACACAGGUGGGCUACCAGAGAAUGGUAAGGCGAUCGAGAGAAACCUCGCUAAGGAACUCGGCAACAUGACCCCGUAAGUUCGCAAUAAGGGGUCCCUUGACAUGCAAAUGUCAGGGGCGCAGUGAAACGGCUCCUGAGACUGUUUAGCAAAAACACAGGUCUCUGCUAACUCGCAAGAGGAUGUAUAGGGACUGAAACCUGCCCGGUGCCGGAAGGUUAAGGCAAGAGGUUAUCCUGCUUCGGUAGGAGAAGCUUCGACCCGAAGCCCCGGUGAACGGCGGCCGUAACUAUAACGGUCCUAAGGUAGCGAAAUUCCUUGUCGGGUAAGUUCCGACCCGCACGAAAGGUGUCACGAGUUGGGCACUGUCUCGACGGGGGGCUCGGCGAAAAUGCAGGACCCGUGAAGAUGCGGGUUACCCGCUGCAGGACAAAAAGACCCCGUGGAGCUUUACUGUAGCUUGGUGUUGAAGGCGGGCCAGGGAUGCGUAGGAUAGGUGGGAGGCUGUGAAACUCCAACUCUGGUUGGAGCGGAGCCGUCCUUGAAAUACCACUCUUCCCUAGUUUACCUCCUAACCCCCGAUAGAUCGGGGAGACAGCGCCUGGUGGGCAGUUUGACUGGGGCGGUCGCCUCCCAAAAGGUAACGGAGGCGCCCAAAGGUCCCCUCAGGCUGGAUGGAAAUCAGCCGUUGAGCGUAUUGGUAUAAGGGGGCUUGACUGUGAGGCCAACAAGCCGAGCAGGGGCGAAAGCCGGGCAAAGUGAUCCUACGGUUCCGUGUGGAAGGGCCGUGGCUUAUCGGAUAAAAGCUACCCCGGGGAUAACAGGCUUAUCUCUCCCAAGCGUUCACAGCGACGGGGAGGUUUGGCACCUCGAUGUCGGCUCGUCGCAUCCUGGGGCUGGAGUAGGUCCCAAGGGUUGGGCUGUUCGCCCAUUAAAGCGGCACGCGAGCUGGGUUUAGAACGUCGUGAGACAGUUCGGUCUCUAUCCGCCGCGCGCGUUAGAAACUUGAGGAAGGCUGUCCCUAGUACGAGAGGACCGGGACGGACGAACCUCUGGUGUGCCAGUUGUUCCACCAGGAGCACCGCUGGUUGGCUACGUUCGGAAGGGAUAACCGCUGAAAGCAUCUAAGCGGGAAGCCUGUUCCAAGAUGAGGUUUCUCUUUCCCCUUUGAGGGAGUAAGGCCCCCGGCAGACCACCGGGUUGAUAGGCCAGAACUGGAAGUCGGGUAACCGAUGCAGGUGACUGGUACUAAUAGGCCGAGGACUUACCCA